AGUGAACGCUGGCGGUAGGCCUAACACAUGCAAGUCGAACGGCAGCACAGUAAGAGCUUGCUCUUACGGGUGGCGAGUGGCGGACGGGUGAGGAAUACAUCGGAAUCUACUUUUUCGUGGGGGAUAACGUAGGGAAACUUACGCUAAUACCGCAUACGACCUACGGGUGAAAGCAGGGGAUCUUCGGACCUUGCGCGAUUGAAUGAGCCGAUGUCGGAUUAGCUAGUUGGCGGGGUAAAGGCCCACCAAGGCGACGAUCCGUAGCUGGCCUGAGAGGAUGAUCAGCCACACUGGAACUGAGACACGGUCCAGACUCCUACGGGAGGCAGCAGUGGGGAAUAUUGGACAAUGGGCGCAAGCCUGAUCCAGCCAUACCGCGUGGGUGAAGAAGGCCUUCGGGCUGUAAAGCCCUUUUGUUGGGAAAGAAAAGCAGCAGGUUAAUACCCCGCUGUUCUGACGGUACCCAAAGAAUAAGCACCGGCUAACUUCGUG
rnacentral:rRNA from 1 species